rnacentral:tRNA from 1 species
GCCUGGCUGGCUCAGUGGGUAGAGCAUGUGACUCUUGAUCUCAGGGUUGUGAGUUUGAGCCCCACGUUGGGUG